ACACUCCUACGGGAGGCAGCAGUGGGGAAUAUUGGACAAUGGGCGCAAGCCUGAUCCAGCCAUGCCGCGUGAGUGAUGAAGGCCCUAGGGUUGUAAAGCUCUUUCACCGGUGAAGAUAAUGACGGUAACCGGAGAAGAAGCCCCGGCUAACUUCGUGCCAGCAGCCGCGGUAAUACGAAGGGGGCUAGCGUUGUUCGGAUUUACUGGGCGUAAAGCGCACGUAGGCGGACUAUUAAGUCAGGGGUGAAAUCCCGGGGCUCCACCCCGGAACUGCCUUUGAUACUGGUAGUCUUGAGUUCGAGAGAGGUGAGUGGAAUUCCGAGUGUAGAGGUGAAAUUCGUAGAUAUUCGGAGGAACACCAGUGGCGAAGGCGGCUCACUGGCUCGAUACUGACGCUGAGGUGCGAAAGCGUGGGGAGCAAACAGGAUUAGAUACCCUUGUAGUAC
rnacentral:rRNA from 1 species